UCCAGGGUCUUCCAAAGGUAGGAAUCGUGGCUCUGAACCACGCAAUCUUGGUUCGAAUCCAAGCCCUGGAA
rnacentral:tRNA from 1 species